GCCUAAAGCGUCCGUAGCCGGCUUUGUAAGUUUUCGGUUAAAUCUAUAUGCUCAACAUAUAGGCUGCCGGGAAUACUGCAAAGCUAGGGAGUGGGAGAGGUAGACGGUACUCCGUAGGAAGGGGUAAAAUCCUUUGAUCUAUGGAUGACCACCUGUGGCGAAGGCGGUCUACCAGAACACGUCUGACGGUGAGGGAUGAAAGCUGGGGGAGCAAACCGGAUUAGAUACCCGGGUAGUCCCAGCUGUAAACUAUGCAAACUCAGUGAUGCAUUGGCUUGUGGCCAGUGCAGUGCCGCAGGGAAGCCGUUAAGUUUGCCGCCUGGGAAGUACGUACGCAAGUAUGAAACUUAAAGGAAUUGGCGGGGGAGCACCACAAGGGGUGAAGCCUGCGGUUCAAUUGGAGUCAACGCCAGAAAUCUUACCCGGAGAGACAGCAGGAUGAAGGUCAAGUUGAAGCCUUUACCAGACAAGCUGAGAAGUGGUGCAUGGCCGUCGCCAGCUCGUGCCGUGAGGUGUCCUGUUAAGUCAGGUAACGAGCGAGAUCCUUGCCUCUAGUUGCUACCAUUACUCUCAGGAGUAGUGGGGCGAAUUAGCGGGACUGCCGUAGUUAAUACGGAGGAAGGAGAGGGCCACGGCAGGUCAGUAUGCCCCGAA
rnacentral:rRNA from 1 species